AGUGAACGCUGGCGGUAGGCCUAACACAUGCAAGUCGAACGGCAGCACAGUAAGAGCUUGCUCUUACGGGUGGCGAGUGGCGGGCGGGUGAGGAAUACAUCGGAAUCUACUUUUUCGUGGGGGAUAACGGAGGGAAACAUACCCUAAUACAGCUAAGGACCAAAGGAGGAAAGCAGGGGACCUUCGGCCCUUGCGGCAUUGGAUAAGCCGAUGUCGGAUUGGCUAGUUGGCGGGGUAAAGGCCCACCAAGGCGACGAUCCGUAGCUGGUCUGAGAGGAUGAUCAGCCACACUGGAACUGAGACACGGUCCAGACUCCUACGGGAGGCAGCAGUGGGGAAUUUUGGACAAUGGGCGCAAGCCUGAUCCAGCCAUACCGCGUGGGUGAAGAAGGCCUUCGGGUUGUAAAGCCCUUUUGUUGGGAAAGAAAAGCAGCAGGCUAAUACCCCGCUGUUCUGACGGUACCCAAAGAAUAAGCACCGGCUAACUUCGUG
rnacentral:rRNA from 1 species